rnacentral:rRNA from 1 species
CCCUUAGAUGUUCUGGGCGGCACGCGCGCUACAAUGGGUGGAAGAACGUGUUACUGCCUCCGAAAGGAGGGGUGAAUCACGAAUUCUUGCCCGUGAAUGGGAUAGUUUGUUGCAAUUUUCGGACUUGAACUAGGAAUCCCUUGUAAACAUGCUCAAGAAUAGCGUGUUGAAUACGUCCCUGCCGUUUGUACACACCGCCCGUCGUUUCUUCCGACUGAUACUCAUUGUGAGUUGCAAGGACCCUUUAUUGGGAAAUUGCUGCAAAUGCUUUGUAUUGGAGGAAGAAAAAGUCGUAACA